UACGUAGGGUGCGAGCGUUAAUCGGAAUUACUGGGCGUAAAGCGUGCGCAGGCGGUCUGUUAAGACCGAUGUGAAAUCCCCGGGCUUAACCUGGGAACUGCAUUGGUGACUGGCAGGCUUUGAGUGUGGCAGAGGGAGGUAGAAUUCCACGUGUAGCAGUGAAAUGCGUAGAGAUGUGGAGGAAUACCGAUGGCGAAGGCAGCCUCCUGGGGCCAACACUGACGCUCAUGCACGAAAGCGUGGGGAGCAAACAGG
rnacentral:rRNA from 1 species